rnacentral:rRNA from 1 species
ACUCCUACGGGAGGCAGCAGUGAGGAAUAUUGCACAAUGGGGGGAACCCUGAUGCAGCAACGCCGCGUGGAGGAUGACGCAUUUCGGUGUGUAAACUCCUUUUAUAUGUCAAGAAAAUGACGGUAGCAUAUGAAUAAGCACCGGCUAACUCCGUGCCAGCAGCCGCGGUAAUACGGAGGGUGCAAGCGUUACUCGGAAUCACUGGGCGUAAAGGACGCGUAGGCGGGUUGUCAAGUCUGAUGUGAAAUCCUAUGGCUCAACCAUAGAACUGCAUUGGAAACUGGCAACCUAGAGUAUGGGAGGGGGAGAUGGAAUUAGUGGUGUAGGGGUAAAAUCCGUAGAUAUCACUAGGAAUACCUAAAGCGAAGGCGAUCUCCUGGAACAUAACUGACGCUAAGGCGUGAAAGCGUGGGGAGCAAACGGGAUUAGAUACCCCGGUAGUCCACGCCCUAAACGAUGAACACUAGUCGUCGCCAAGCUUGUCUUGGCGGUGAUGCACUUAACAGAUUAAGUGUUCCGCCUGGGGAGUACGGUCGCAAGAUUAAAACUCAAAGGAAUAGACGGGGACCCGCACAAGUGGUGGAGCAUGUGGUUUAAUUCGACGAUACGCGAAGAACCUUACCUGGCCUUGACAUUGAUUGAACACACUAGAGAUAGAGUGGUGCCCUUCGGGGAGCAUGAAAACAGGUGCUGCACGGCUGUCGUCAGCUCGUGUCGUGAGAUGUUGGGUUAAGUCCCGCAACGAGCGCAACCCUCGUCCUUAGUUGCCAGCAGGUUAAGCUGGGCACUCUAAGGAGACUGCCUUCGUAAGGAGGAGGAAGGUGAGGACGACGUCAAGUCAUCAUGGCCCUUACGGCCAGGGCUACACACGUGCUACAAUGGGGCGUACAGAGUGUUGCGAUACCGCGA